UACGUAGGGUGCAAGCGUUGUCCGGAAUUAUUGGGCGUAAAGAGCUCGUAGGCGGUCUGUCGCGUCCGUUGUGAAAACUCGAGGCUCAACCUCGGGCUUGCAGUGGAUACGGGCAGACUAGAGUGCGGUAGGGGAGACUGGAAUUCCUGGUGUAGCGGUGGAAUGCGCAGAUAUCAGGAGGAACACCGGUGGCGAAGGCGGGUCUCUGGGCAAUAACUGACGCUGAGGAGCGAAAGCGUGGGGAGCGAACAGG
rnacentral:rRNA from 1 species